rnacentral:rRNA from 1 species
GACGAACGCUGGCGGCGUGCUUAACACAUGCAAGUCGAACGGGCCUUGUCCCCUUUUUUUUUGGGGGUGGGGUUAGUGGCGAACGGGUGAGUAACACGUGAGUAACCUGCCCCUCACUUCUGGAUAACCGCUUGAAAGGGUGGCUAAUACGGGGUGUUCUGGCCUGCUCGCAUGGGUGGGUUUGGAAAGAUUCGACCGGUUUUGGUUGUUUUGGUGGGGGAUGGGCUCGCGGCCUAUCAGCUUGUUGGUGGGGUGAUGGCCUGCCAAGGCUUUGACGGGUAGCCGGCCUGAGAGGGUGGGCGGUCACACUGGGACUGAGACACGGCCCAGACUCCUACGGGAGGCAGCAGUGGGGAAUAUUGCACAAUGGGCGCAAGCCUGAUGCAGCGACGCCGCGUGAGGGAUGGAGGCCUUCGGGUUGUGAACCUCUUUCGCCAGUGAAGAAGGUCCU